rnacentral:rRNA from 1 species
UACCAGCACCCCGAGUGGUCGGGACGAUUAUUGGGCCUAAAGCAUCCGUAGCCGGUCAUGCAAGUCCUCCGUUAAAUCCACCUGCUUAACAGAUGGGCUGCGGAGGAUACUACAAGACUAGGAGGCAGGAGAGGCAAGCGGUACUCAGUGGGUAGGGGUAAAAUCCUCUGAUCCAUUGAAGACCACCAGUGGCGAAGGCGGCUUGCCAGAACGCGCUCGACGGUGAGGGAUGAAAGCUGGGGGGAGCAACCGG